CCACAUAUCUGGUUGGUUUUCUCUUUAUAGCUGGAUGUUCCUGCACACUAACAAACUCAUCAAAAUAAUUCAAAGGAUAUUUAAAAGGAGUUUGAGAGUUAGAAUUUCGUUGAGGCUUCUCCUUGUUACUUUUCCUUUGCAAACCAAACAUCAUAAACCUGAAAAAUCUCAACACAAAAGUUAGUAGAUAAAAACCUCACACUCCCAAGUGUUUGAUCCUCACCCACACAAGUGUUUCUCUCAGAUUUAGGUGAUCACACACAAGUUUUUACUCAAUGUUCUAAGAGAACAAAUCAAAGAAUCCCAAUGGGCAAAUCCAAGCAAACAAGGAAUUUUUUCAAGAUAGAAAGAUAAGAGAUUUUUUGAUUUUUGAAAUCCGUUUUAACCACCUCCAAGGCCGGAUUUCUCCUCGGCCAGCAGGCUUACUCUUCCACCACCAAACCACAAUUGAAAACUUUUGAUAUCUUUUUUUUUUUUGAUUAGAUCUUUCUUUCUUUUUUUUCUUUUUAUAUAUGGAUGGUAAAGAGGAGCCCGGAUUCAAAGAUAGAUAGAAGAAGAAUUUUCUUUUUUUAUGAAGAAAAUGAUAGAUGAGAAAGAUGGAAUGAAAAGAGAUACCGGAAGAGUGGC
rnacentral:lncRNA from 1 species